CGAAGCCAUUCUGCCCGUGCGGCUGUGCGUCCGUUCCCCACUCCUCUCGAACCCACCUUCUCCCUCUCCCUGUGCACACUUUCCUCCACGCCUGAUGAGAUCUGCUGCGCUCGCUUCCAUUGCCCUGGCCCUCGCGCUCGCCGGCGUCCACCGAGCCAAAUCCUGCGCCGGAGCCCCUCCUUCCUCAACCUUCUUAUCCACCGAUGGGCCCCCACACCCCGACCGGCAACGAAGCACCCCGCAUGAGCGGACGCAUUCCCCUGCCCCAGACCGGCGGCGAAGCGACCCCGCGCUCUGCUUCUCCCUCCCCGGCGUCGUCCUACACCCCGCCGCGUCGAUCCCUCGCCGGAUUGAUGCAUCCCGUGGCUGGGACCUUUGCUUCCUGUUUGACGCAGUCCCUUCUCAUCCAACAACAGCAACAAAAGGAGGAAGCGGCUGCUCCGGCCGCCCCCUGCAGAUUCCAACCAGCGACGGCGCCUUUUGCUCACGCGCCCCUUGGAGAUCCACUACAGUUCAAUUCCCUAGCUGCACAGUAUAGGGAGGAUUCUCUUGAAGUAUUGCCUCAAAUUCUUCCUCCACAACCAUGCCUGCAGGGGUCAUGUGGACGGCGACAAGAAGCACUGAGCAAUGGAUGCGAUGCAGUACCUCACUGUAGAUUUCCCUCCCGCUCUUCGUCCACAGGGGCCUUACUAAAUUUUAAAAGGAUGUCAAAGCAACAUUUUUGAGGUUUUGUGCACACGCCCAAGCAAGAAGCUUCAAGGUCCACUUCUAGGAGUCACCUACAAAAAUCUCAAGCUAUCAAAGAAAUGCCCAAGAAAAGGAAACCAUCACCAUGUACUCUCCGGUGCAGUACAAAUCAAUACUAGUUGCUCAUGCAGAUGGAAGAAACAAGGGGAAAACAUUGGAAAAGGAGUUUGCAAUCAGGAUGAACAAGUUCUCAAGCUAUAUCUGGCAGCCAUUACAGGGACCUUCGGAUGAGGGGCAAGGGAGGAGAGGGGGCGUGGGGAGAAGAAGCAGAAGGGCGUGGGAACGGCGCGUCUAGAGCGCUCCCUCUCGCUGGGUGGAUGAGGGAGGCGAGAGACGGUGGACCCUCUCACUUUCCAAAUCUGGACAAGGGAACUGAAACCUACCUAAUAUGGGAGGCUGCUAGGAGGCGCUAGCGGGCAGACGUUUGCCCGCUAGUCGCGUCCUAUUUUUAUAGGCCCAAUAUGUUGUUUGCACUGACACUUCAGAAAACAUACAACAGAAUUAGAGGUCCAUGCUAUAAACACUCAAAAAACAAAAUAAUCAACUUGGUCCAGAAACAUAUGUUCUUAUCAAAAGCUACAGUCAGUACAA